UGCAAGUAGACGCACAGUUUAUACCGUAGCUUGCUACACCAUAACUGUGAGUUGCGAACGGGUGAGUAACGCGUAGGUAACCUGCCUGGUAGCGGGGGAUAACUAUUGGAAACGAUAGCUAAUACCGCAUAAUAUUGAUUAUUGCAUGAUAAUUGAUUGAAAGAUGCUAUUGCAUCACUACCAGAUGGACCUGCGUUGUAUUAGCUAGUAGGUGAGGUAACGGCUCACCUAGGCGACGAUACAUAGCCGACCUGAGAGGGUGAUCGGCCACACUGGGACUGAGACACGGCCCAGACUCCUACGGGAGGCAGCAGUAGGGAAUCUUCGGCAAUGGACGAAAGUCUGACCGAGCAACGCCGCGUGAGUGAAGAAGGUUUUCGGAUCGUAAAGCUCUGUUGUAAGAGAAGAACGGGUGUGAGAGUGGAAAGUUCACACUGUGACGGUAUCUUACCAGAAAGGGACGGCUAACUACGUGCCAGCAGCCGCGGUAAUACGUAGGUCCCGAGCGUUGUCCGGAUUUAUUGGGCGUAAAGCGAGCGCAGGCGGUUAGAUAAGUCUGAAGUUAAAGGCUGUGGCUUAACCAUAGUACGCUUUGGAAACUGUUUAACUUGAGUGCAGAAGGGGAGAGUGGAAUUCCAUGUGUAGCGGUGAAAUGCGUAGAUAUAUGGAGGAACACCGGUGGCGAAAGCGGCUCUCUGGUCUGUAACUGACGCUGAGGCUCGAAAGCGUGGGGAGCGAACAGGAUUAGAUA
rnacentral:rRNA from 1 species